rnacentral:lncRNA from 1 species
CCAGGGUUUUGCAUGACUGUUUGCUAAAUAGGCAGCUAGCUUUAUAUUCAAAGCACUAAUGGAUGUAUACUUAUACAUCAUUCUAUCUUAUUUGUGGUCACCUUUAUCUUUUCACAGAAAUUAUCUGUGCAAGAUAAACUGUGAGGACCUCUUCAUGUUUCAAUAGUUAAUUGCGUACAGUUUGGAAAAAAAUUUGCUGAAGUGGUCACACAUCAAACAACAGAACAAAGUACAUGGAAUCAACUGGAUCAAUGGGCCAAGGUAAAUCAUGUGAAUUUCAGUAGAGCCAAGUGUCGGGUCUUGCAUUUUGAUCACAACAACCCCAGGCAGGCAACCCUACAGGCCUGGGGAGGUGUGGCUGGAAAGCUGCCUGAUGGAAAGGGACCUUGGUGUACUGGUGGACGGUCGGCUGAAUAUGAGCCAGCAGUGUGCCCAGGUGCCCUAGAAGGCCAAUGGCAUCAUUGCUUGUAUCAGGAAUGGUGUGGUGAGCAGGACUAUGGAAGCCAUCCUGCCCCGUACUCAGCACUGGUGAGGCCUCACCUCAAGUACUGUGUUCAGUUUUGGGCAUCUCAGUACAGAACAAAUAUUGAGGUGUUGGAACAGAUCCAAAGAAGGGCAACAAGGCUUGUGAGGGGCUUGGUGAAUAUGCCCUAUGGGGAGAGACAGAAGGAGCUGGGACUGUUCAGUCUGGGGAAGAGGAGGCUGAGGGGAGACCUUGUUGCUCUCUUCCAAUAUCUGAAAGGUGCUUACAGUGAGAGUGGGGCUGGUCUCUUCUCAUUGGUGACAGGAUGAAGGGAAACGGCCUCAAGUUGCACCUGGGUAAGUUUAGGUUGGAUAUCAGGAAAAACUUCUUUACAGAAAGGGUAGCGAAGCACUGGAAUAGGCUCCCUAGGGAUCCAUUUGGAUGUAGCGCUCAGGGUCAUGAUUUAACAGAGGGUUGUUAAAGUUAGGGCAGUAUGGUUAGGUUGUGGUUGGAUUUGAUCUUUAUGGUCUUCUCUUACCUGAGCAAUUCUAUGACUCUAUGGAAAAUAAAAGAAACAAGUACGUGCA